GGUACUGGCAUAAAAAUAGGCACAUAGAACAAUGGAACAGAUUAGAGAACCCAGAAAUAAACCCUAAUAGUUACAGCCAACUGAAUCUUCGACAAGGCAAACGAAAACAUAAAGUGGGAAAAGGACACCCUAUUCAACAAAUGGUGUUGGAAUAAUUGGCAACAAAAGACCCUAAUCAGCCAAAGCAAUCUUGAGGGGGAAAAAAAAGCUGCAGAUAUUACACUACCUAACUUCAAAAUAUACUACAGAGGUAUAGCAACCAAAACAACAUGGUACUGGCAUUAAAACAGACAAAUAGACCAGUGAAACACAACGGAGAACCCAGAAACAAAUUAUUAUAUUUGCAGCCAAUUGUUUUUUGUCAAAGUUGCUAAGAACAUGCAAUGGAGAAAGACACCCCCUUCAAUAAACGGUGCUAGGAAAACUGGAUAUUUAUAUGCAAAUGAAUGAAACUAGGUACCUAUUUACCAUCAUAC
rnacentral:lncRNA from 1 species